rnacentral:rRNA from 1 species
AUUGAACGCUGGCGGCAGGCUUAACACAUGCAAGUCGAGCGGGGGAGGUUGCUUCGGUAACUGACCUAGCGGCGGACGGGUGAGUAAUGCUUAGGAAUCUGCCUAUUAGUGGGGGACAACAUCUCGAAAGGGAUGCUAAUACCGCAUACGUCCUACGGGAGAAAGCAGGGGACCUUUGGGCCUUGCGCUAAUAGAUGAGCCUAAGUCGGAUUAGCUAGUUGGUGGGGUAAAGGCCUACCAAGGCGACGAUCUGUAGCGGGUCUGAGAGGAUGAUCCGCCACACUGGGACUGAGACACGGCCCAGACUCCUACGGGAGGCAGCAGUGGGGAAUAUUGGACAAUGGGGGGAACCCUGAUCCAGCCAUGCCGCGUGUGUGAAGAAGGCCUUUUGGUUGUAAAGCACUUUAAGCGAGGAGGAGGCUACUGGUAUUAAUACUACCGGAUAGUGGACGUUACUCGCAGAAUAAGCACCGGCUAACUCUGUGCCAGCCGCCGCAGUAA